rnacentral:lncRNA from 1 species
UUGGGAGGAUUAAACUUUAUCUAUCUUAAAAUUUCAUCAUUCCAGUUUCCACCUGUCAAACCGAACAGGUAUGGCCUUAUAACUUAUAAGUAUACAUCCAGAGGGAGCCGGUAAAACCAGAAACCAUUUAUGUAAAACCAUCGAUCGAAACCAAUGCCAUCAACAAGAAGCAACUUUGUAGCAUUAGAGAAGUUAUAGCUACCCUUCUGCCACUAUAUUCAAUUAUUACAGAAAGACAAUAUCUGAACAAAAGGAAAACUCUAAAAGGCCAGCCAGUUAGUUCUUAGCACGCCAAGAGCAAAUGAAUAUCGCCCUCUCUAUAGAACGAGAAGAUAGCAAAUCAUUCUUUCUUCCCGAUCCCAUGAGACAUGUUGUAGAUACCUCGUCCCUGAAGAAAGAGAACGGAUCGAGUCAAGUUCUGUAAGCAUAUUGCGAGAUUUGAUAGUGGUUUAGUCGAAUUGGAUAAAGGGGACUCACAAUGAGGUACAAUGAGGUUGCAGCCAAGGCUAAAGGGAUAGCGACGGAGGUGACCUUGUCCAUAG